rnacentral:lncRNA from 1 species
GUCUCAGCUCUUGUACUGCAGCGGCAUGGUCCUGGUUCCAUUUUUGUUGCUCUUCCAUUAGUCUUCCAUGUUCUGCUUGCGUGUUUUGGAUGUCGAGGAGGGUGUUGUCGGUACGGGUGAAGAAAGCACCGGCCUCUUGAUAGUAGUCAUUCGUGAAAGCGUAGGAGGCGUCGGAGUAUCGUCCUGCAUCAAAUUGGGGCGGAGGUCU